rnacentral:rRNA from 1 species
UACGUAGGGUGCGAGCGUUAAUCGGAAUUACUGGGCGUAAAGCGUGCGCAGGCGGUUGGGUAAGACAGAUGUGAAAUCCCCGGGCUUAACCUGGGAACUGCAUUUGUGACUGUCCGACUGGAGUAUGUCAGAGGGGGGUGGAAUUCCAAGUGUAGCAGUGAAAUGCGUAGAUAUUUGGAAGAACACCGAUGGCGAAGGCAGCCCCCUGGGGCAAAACUGACGCUCAUGCACGAAAGCGUGGGGAGCAAACAGG